rnacentral:rRNA from 1 species
GGACUACAGGGGUAUCUAAUCCCGUUUGCUCCCCUGGCUUUCGUGUCUCAGCGUCAGCACACCCCCAGCAACUUGUUUUCACCAUUGGCGUUCCAAACGAUAUCUACGCAUUUCACCGCUCCACCGUUUGUUCCAGUUGCCCCUAGGUGGCUCAAGAUCCGCAGUAUACCAAGCAGUUCCAUGGUUGAGCCAUGGGAUUUCACAAGGUACUUACGGACCCGCCUACACACGCUUUAAGCCCAGUGAUUCCGCCUAACGCUCGGCACCUCUGUCUUACCGCGGCUGCUGGCAC